UCAAUUAUAUCAAAGGUGAGUAUACGGUUUCAAAGGACUCCCAUAUGGUGAGCCAACCAAAAAUUACAAAUAUUUAGCUCACCCCUGUUAUUUAGAAGCACGUUUGAGGUGUUCAGAUCCCUAUGAAGCACCCAGUUGUCAUGAAGAUACUUCACACCUUCUAGAGGGCUGGAUCAUUAAGCACUUCACUUCACUUUGGCUAAAUGCAGUAGGUCUCGGAAGAGUUCAGACAGUAUGUCUUGCAUCUGUUGGAGAAACCUACACUCAGGCCAGCUUCCAUGAAGCUGCUCUAAAGGUACUGCGACCGACUCUA